rnacentral:rRNA from 1 species
UUGAUGCCAUGCUUCCAGGAAAAGCCUCUAAGCUUCAGAUUGUAAGGAAUCGUACCCCAAACCGACACAGGUGGUCGGGUAGAGAAUACCAAGGCGCUUGAGAGAACUCGGGUGAAGGAACUAGGCAAAAUGGUACCGUAACUUCGGGAGAAGGUACGCUCUCGACGGUGAAGUCCCUCGCGGAUGGAGCUAUUGAGAGUCGCAGAUACCAGGUGGCUGCAACUGUUUAUUAAAAACAC